CGCUGGCGGCGUGCNNUAACACAUGCAAGCUCGAACGAGAAAAUCCGGGUGUAGCAAUACAUCUGGGUGAGUAAAGUGGCGAACGGGUGAGUAACACGUAGCUAACCUGCCCUUGAGUGGGGGAUAACCUGGGGAAACUCGGGCUAAUACCGCAUGACAUUCCGACUUCACAAGGAGAUGGAAUCAAAGGCCCGCAAGGGUCACUCGAGGAGGGGGCUGCGGCCGAUUAGCUAGUUGGCGGGGUAAUGGCCCACCAAGGCGAUGAUCGGUAGCCGGCCUGAGAGGGCGCACGGCCACACUGGCACUGAAACACGGUCCAGACUCCUACGGGAGGCAGCAGUGGGGAAUUUUGCACAAUGCCCGAAAGGGUGAUGCAGCAACGCCGCGUGAGGGAUGAAGGCCUUCGGGUCGUAAACCUCUUUCGAUCGGGAAAAAUGGGCGGGUGAUGAAUCCGUUCUGAUGGUACCGGAAGAAGAAGCCCCGGCUAACUACGUGCCAGCAGCCG
rnacentral:rRNA from 1 species